rnacentral:rRNA from 1 species
GACGAACGCUGGCGGCGUGCUUAACACAUGCAAGUCGAACGGUGAUGCUCCAGCUUGCUGGAGUGGAUCAGUGGCGAACGGGUGAGUAACACGUGAGCAACCUGCCCCAGACUCUGGAAUAAGCGCUGGAAACGGCGUCUAAUACUGGAUACGAAACUGGCCCGCAUGGGCAUGGUUUGGAAAGUUUUUCGGUUGGGGAUGGGCUCGCGGCCUAUCAGCUUGUUGGUGAGGUACUGGCUUACCAAGGCGACGACGGGUAGCCGGCCUGAGAGGGCGACCGGCCACACUGGGACUGAGAUACGGCCCAGACUCCUACGGGAGGCAGCAGUGGGGAAUAUUGCACAAUGGGCGGAAGCCUGAUGCAGCAACGCCGCGUGCGGGAUGACGGCCUUCGGGUUGUAAACCGCUUUCAGCUGUGAAGAAGCGAGAGUGACGAUACCGGGAGAAGAAGCACCGGCUAACUACGUG